rnacentral:rRNA from 1 species
CCUACGGGUGGCUGCAGUGAGGAAUAUUGGUCAAUGGGCGCGAGCCUGAACCAGCCAAGUCGCGUGAGGGAGGACGGCCCUACGGGUUGUAAACCUCUUUUGCCGGGGAGCAACGGGCGUCACGUGUGGCGCCACUGAGAGUACCCGGAGAAAAAGCAUCGGCUAACUCCGUGCCAGCAGCCGCGGUAAUACGUAGGGGGCAAGCGUUAUCCGGAUUUACUGGGUGUAAAGGGAGCGUAGACGGCUGCGCAAGUCAGAAGUGAAAGCCCGGGGCUCAACCGCGGGACUGCUUUUGAAACUGUGUAGCUAGAGUGCAGGAGAGGUAAGUGGAAUUCCUAGUGUAGCGGUGAAAUGCGUAGAUAUUAGGAGGAACACCGGUGGCGAAGGCGGCUUACUGGACUGUAACUGACGUUGAGGCUCGAAAGCGUGGGGAGCAAACAGGAUUAGAUACCCCAGUAGUC